GAGAGAGUAAGAAAUAUAUUGAAAAUUGCUAGUAUUCAAAACCAUGGUUUAAAUCCAAGGCCCCCUCA
rnacentral:tRNA from 1 species